GGCUCUUCCUCUGACGGAUGAAAUUGGCCCCCUUGUCGAUCAUCAAGCCUCCUCCACCCUGAAAGACAAGGUUGCCUCUGAGCAAACUGAUGCCGUGAUCAUGCCAAGCGGCAGUGGCGCCAAGGUGCCUAAGAGGAAAUGGGCGGGCUCUAUCAAAGACGACAUUGUUCUCACUCGCUUUCUUCUCCAAGCCGCCAUCGGAGCUCCCCCAGCACCACGGAGGAAACUCCUGAAGCGGCACAAACCAAAGUAA
rnacentral:lncRNA from 1 species